GACGAACGCUGGCGGCGUGCUUAACACAUGCAAGUCGAACGGAAAGGCCCUGCUUUUGUGGGGUGCUCGAGUGGCGAACGGGUGAGUAACACGUGAGUAACCUGCCCUUGUCUUUGGGAUAACUUCAGGAAACUGGGGCUAAUACCGGAUAGGAGCUCCUGCUGCAUGGUGGGGGUUGGAAAGUUUCGGCGGUUGGGGAUGGACUCGCGGCUUAUCAGCUUGUUGGUGGGGUAGUGGCUUACCAAGGCUUUGACGGGUAGCCGGCCUGAGAGGGUGACCGGCCACAUGGGGACUGAGAUACGGCCCAGACUCCUACGGGAGGCAGCAGUGGGGAAUAUUGCACAAUGGGCGGAAGCCUGAUGCAGCAACGCCGCGUGCGGGAUGACGGCCUUCGGGUUGUAAACCGCUUUCGCCUGUGACGAAGCGUGAGUGACGGUAAUGGGUAAAGAAGCACCGGCUAACUACGUG
rnacentral:rRNA from 1 species